rnacentral:rRNA from 11 species
AACGGAUAAAAGGUACUCUGGGGAUAACAGGCUGAUACCGCCCAAGAGUUCACAUCGACGGCGGUGUUUGGCACCUCGAUGUCGGCUCAUCUCAUCCUGGGGCUGGAGCAGGUCCCAAGGGUUUGGCUGUUCGCCAUUUAAAGAGGUACGUGAGCUGGGUUUAAAACGUCGUGAGACAGUUUGGUCCCUAUCUUCCGUGGGCGCUGCAAGAUUGAGAGAGCCUGCUCCUAGUACGAGAGGACCGGAGUGGACGCACCUCUGGUGUAUCGGUUGUCACGCCAGUGGCAUUGCCGAGUAGCUAAGUGCGGAAGAGAUAACCGCUGAAAGCAUCUAAGCGGGAAGCCCCCCUCAAGAUAAGGUCUCUCU